rnacentral:rRNA from 1 species
CGCGGCCUAUCAGCUUGUUGGUGAGGUAAUGGCUCACCAAGGCAUCGACGGGUAGCUGGUCUGAGAGGACGAUCAGCCACACUGGGACUGAGACACGGCCCAGACUCCUACGGGAGGCAGCAGUGGGGAAUCUUGCGCAAUGGGCGAAAGCCUGACGCAGCGAUGCCGCGUGGGGGUUGAAGGCUCUCGGGUCGUAAACCCCUUUCAGCAGGGACGAAAAUGACGGUACCUGCAGAAGAAGCCCCGGCCAACUACGUGCCAGCAGCCGCGGUAACACGUAGGGGGCAAGCGUUGUCCGGAUUUAUUGGGCGUAAAGGGCUCGUAGGCUGUUCAGUAAGUCAGGUGUGAAAACCCAAGGCUCAACCUUGGGACGCCACUUGAUACUGCUGUGACUAGAGUCCGGUAGAGGAGAUUGGAAUUCCUGGUGUAGCGGUGAAAUGCGCAGAUAUCAGGAGGAACACCAACGGCGAAGGCAGAUCUCUGGGCCGGUACUGACGCUGAGGAGCGAAAGCAUGGGGAGCGAACAGGAUUAGAUACCCUGGUAGUCCAUGCCGUAAACGUUGGGCACUAGGUGUGGGGUCUAUUCAACGGAUUCCGUGCCGCAGCUAACGCGUUAAGUGCCCCGCCUGGGGAGUACGG